CCGGCGCACGGGUGCGUAACGCGUAUGCAACCUACCACCAACACGGGGGAUAACACUGAGAAAUUGGUACUAAUACCCCAUAAUAUCUCAUGCGGCAUCGCAUGGGGUUGAAAACUCCGGUGGUUGAUGAUGGGCAUGCGUUGUAUUAGCUGGUUGGUGAGGUAACGGCUCGCCAAGGCGACGAUACAUAGGGGGACUGAGAGGUUAACCCCCCACAUUGGUACUGAGACACGGACCAAACUCCUACGGGAGGCAGCAG
rnacentral:rRNA from 1 species